CGAUUGCCUUUUUUCAGUCCUUUCUUUUGCAGUGUAUAACAAACUUAUUUAUGAAAGGAUUCCUUGGUUGAGUGGAGUUUUUCUUUUUGAUCAGGUCAUGAAAUAAGUGAUAAUCUCCCCUCACAGCUGCCGUUUCCAGUUGGCCUUUAUGUGAGGCACUAUGCAGAUGUGCUCCUUGCUGACAGAAGCAGAACCAGUGUUAAUUUCUCGCUGGUGUGGCCAGGAUGUCAGGGAUGAGGUGGUGUUGCGUCUUCAUUUGGACAUUAAAACUAUCCAAAUGAUCAGACAAAAGGAAGGAGAUAUCUCAUCCUCAGCAGGGAUAUGGGAGAACCAUGGAAAUGUUUCAGACCUACUAUAAUGCAAAUACAAUGAGCUUCAACGUAAGGGAUCCCCGUGUGUUCCAGUGAGCUCAACAUUUCCAGUGCCUCUGAUCAUUCUGGAGCCCUUUGGCUGCCAUCUCCUGACAGGACCCUCGUUUGUCUCAAUCCUGGUGCUUCUAGACCAAGGCAAAUAGCUGCUACGUGCAUCCACCUCCAGCCUAAGAGGUAUAGACAGAGUGGGUCCAGCAGUAAAACCCACUUGUUCUCCAGUCCUCUCUCUGGUGGUCGGAGUUCACAUGGCUCUGCAGUGCAUGGCACGUUCAUUGCCUUCCCAUUGGUGGGAGAUGUAAAGUGGGCCAACAUGCAAAAAGGGAUCUCGUUUUUACGGACAGAAGAGGGAAACAGUUUUUUGAGGUCUUUAGGAAUUCAAAGUCUGCUGUCAGCUUGCCUUUCUCUACGACCAAGUGUUUUCUUCCCUUGGGAAAGGAGCCCCAGUUCCAUCAGCUGGCAGCCUGCCAUCAGUAGAGGUGACUUCUGGACUACGAGGGUGCUCUCCUGCUUGGUAACCAGUUGCUCUUGUCAAUGAAGUGCUGUCCAGCAGAUCUGAUGGAGCAGGUGAAACAAGGGAUGCCAAGAGAAGGUGAGAGGGGAGCUGACAGUGUGCAAGAGAAGAAAGGACUUGGGUAUGAUGUGAUGAUUAGCAGAAUUUUGGGGACACAAUGAGUGAUACUGCUAUUUGCUCAGCUUAUAAAGAAACACUGUUUACAUUUUAAUUUUAGGUUAUUUUCUCACCUCCUUGUAUGAUUUUUUUAAGUCUUUCAUCUGCAGCAAAUGUACUAAAAUGGUACUCGUCAUCGAAUGGACUUUGUUCCAGCCUAGGGUAAGGUGGGGAUGAGCUCAUUCUUCUGAGGCAUUACAGUCGUUGUCUUGGUGUGUUUAAGGAACUAUGUAAUCUUCCAAAAGCUUCAGUCUAGACCUGGACUUUCACUGCAGCAAUGAAGAACAGGAGCUAUAGAAACUGGAGAGAGUGAGUAAUGAGCUUACUGCAGUCCUGUAUCCCUGAGAUGUGUAACUGGAAGCAAUGUAAGUGGAGUAUUUCUAAACCAGGAUACCAGAAGAAAAAGAGAAACCAUUUUUAAAACAGGUGGGAGCUGUCUUUGGAAGGUGUUCAUACUGCUGUCACUACCUCUAGUGAUCGGUGAUAUCCAUUAAAUGAAACAAAAAACCCAAAUGUUUGUGGAUUUUCAUUGUAUCCUUGUCUUGUGACGCCUUCAGAGGCCACAGUUCUGGGAAGCCGAGGAAACAGCAUCAUCAGCUGUGAAUGUAAGCAGAGAUGCACUGCAGCAGAAGUAGAAUUGUUUGCAUUCCAUCUGCUUCUGUCAACCUAGAGAGAUUUUCUGAAGUGAAAAAGACACAGGCUUUAUCCAUGGGAUUGCCCAUGGCUUUGGGAACAUUAUGUAUACUGCAU
ensembl:lncRNA